rnacentral:rRNA from 1 species
UACGUAGGUGACCAGCGUUUGUCCGGGAUUUACUGGGCGUAAAGAGCGCGCAGGCGGUCGUUCAAGUCGAGUGUGAAAGCCCCCGGCUCAACUGGGGAGGGUCACGCGAUACUGAUCGACUCGAAGGCAGGAGAGGGAAGUGGAAUUCCCGGUGUAGUGGUGAAAUGCGUAGAUAUCGGGAGGAACACCAGUGGCGAAGGC